UACGUAGGGGGCAAGCGUUGUCCGGAUUUACUGGGCGUAAAGAGCGCGCAGGCGGUUGUUCAAGUCGGGUGUGAAAGCCCCCGGCUCAACUGGGGAGGGUCACGCGAUACUGAUCGACUCGAAGGCAGGAGAGGGAAGUGGAAUUCCCGGUGUAGUGGUGAAAUGCGUAGAUAUCGGGAGGAACACCAGUGGCGAAGGCGACUUCCUGGCCUGUUCUUGACGCUGAGGCGCGAAAGCUAGGGGAGCAAACGGG
rnacentral:rRNA from 1 species